AUUGAACGCUAGCGGGAGGCUUUACACAUGCAAGUCGAACGAGUGGCGGACGGGUGAGUAAUAUAUGGGAACGUGCCCAGUAGAGGGGGAUAACUACUCGAAAGAGUGGCUAAUACCGCAUACUAUUGGAGAGGCCCAGAUCGGAUUAGCUAGUUGGUGGGGUAAAGGCUCACCUAGGCGACGAUCCCUAGCUGGUCUGAGAGGAUGAUCAGCCACACUGGGACUGAGACACGGUCCAGACUCCUACGGGAGGCAGCAGUGGGGAAUAUUGCACAAUGGGCGCAAGCCUGAUGCAGCCAUGCCGCGUGUAUGAAGAAGGCCCUAGGGUUGUAAAGUACUUUCAGUCGGGAGGCGUUACCGGCAGAAGAAGCACCGGCUAACUCCGUGCCAGCAGCCGCGGUAAUUC
rnacentral:rRNA from 1 species